rfam:Gossypium hirsutum cultivar TM-1 unplaced genomic scaffold scaffold854.1, whole genome shotgun sequence
ACAAUGGAGUUUUUAGACUCCACAAGUAGAAUCAAGAGGUUAACA